rnacentral:miRNA from 1 species
CAGGGCAGGGCAAGAGUUGAG